CCUGGUUGAUCCUGCCAGUAGUCAUAUGCUUGUCUCAAAGAUUAAGCCAUGCAUGUCUAAGUACACAUUUUUACACAAUGAAACUGCGAAUGGCUCAUUAAAUCAGCUAUGGUUCCUUAGAUCAUAGUUAUCCUACUUGGAUAACUGUAGUAAUUCUAGAGCUAAUACAUGCAACUAAGCCUGUCCUUUGCGGGACGGGCGCACUUAUUAGAUCAAAACCAACCGGACUUCGGUCUGACGGUUUGAUGACUCUGGAUAAUUUACCUGAUCGCACGGCCUUUGUGUCGGCGACGUAUCUUUCAAAUGUCUGCCCUAUCAACUUUUGAUGGUAGGUAAUUUGCCUACCAUGGUUAUAACGGGUAACGGGGAAUCAGGGUUCGAUUCCGGAGAGGGAGCCUGAGAAAUAGCUACCACAUCCAAGGAAGGCAGCAGGCGCGCAAAUUACCCACUCCCGAAACGGGGAGGUAGUGACGAUAAAUAACGAUGCGGGACUCAAUCGAGGCCCCGUAAUUGGAAUGAGUACACUUUAAAUCCUUUAACGAGGAUCAAUUGGAGGGCAAGUCUGGUGCCAGCAGCCGCGGUAAUUCCAGCUCCAAUAGCGUAUAUUAAAGUUGUUGCAGUUAAAAAGCUCGUAGUUGGAUCUCAGGAUUUGGAUGGAUGGUUCGCUUUCGGGCGCUACUAUCUGUCUGACCUACUCUAGUCGUGGAUGCCUUGGGUGCUCUUAAUUGAGUGCUUUUGGUGCCCGACGCAAUUACUUUGAAAAAAUUAGAGUGCUCAAAGCAGGCGUAUUGCCUGAAUAGUGUUGCAUGGAAUAAUGAAAUAGGAGUUUACUUCUAUUUUGUUGGUUUUCGGAGGUGAACUAAUGAUUAACAGGGACAGACGGGGGCAUUUGUAUGGAGGGGUUAGAGGUGAAAUUCUUGGAUCCUCUCCAGACAAACUACUGCGAAAGCAUUUGCCAGGAAUGUUUUCACUAAUCAAGAACGAAAGUCAGAGGUUCGAAGACGAUCAGAUACCGUCCUAGUUCUGACCAUAAAUGAUGCCAUCUAACAAUCCACGAAGUUUGCUUGUACGAACUCGUGGGCGGUCCCCGGGAAACCAAAGAUCUUGGGUUCCGGGGGAAGUAUGGUUGCAAAGCUGAAACUUAAAGGAAUUGACGGAAGGGCACCACCAGGAGUGGAGCCUGCGGCUUAAUUUGACCCAACACGGGAAACCUCACCCGGCCCGGACACUUUUAGGAUUGACAGAUUGAAGGCUCUUUCUUGAUCAAGUGGUUGGUGGUGCAUGGCCGUUCUUAGUUGGUGGAGCGAUUUGUCUGGUUAAUUCCGAUAACGAACGAGACUCUACUCUGCU
rnacentral:rRNA from 1 species